rnacentral:rRNA from 1 species
ACGGAGGGUGCAAGCGUUAUCCGGAUUCACUGGGUUUAAAGGGUGCGUAGGCGGGCAGUUAAGUCAGUGGUGAAAUCUCCGAGCUCAACUCGGAAACUGCCAUUGAUACUAUCUGUCUUGAAUAUUGUGGAGGUAAGCGGAAUAUGUCAUGUAGCGGUGAAAUGCUUAGAUAUGACAUAGAACACCUAUUGCGAAGGCAGCUUACUACGCAUAUAUUGACGCUGAGGCACGAAAGCGUGGGGAUCAAACAGGAUUAGAUACCCUGGUAGUCCACGCCCUAAACGAUGGAUACUCGACAUACGCGAUACACUGUGUGUGUCUGAGCGAAAGCAUUAAGUAUCCCACCUGGGAAGUACGUCCGCAAGGAUG